rnacentral:rRNA from 1 species
AUGAACGCUGGCGGCGUGCCUCAUACCUGCCAGUCGAGCGCACAGACGAGGAGCUUGCUCCUCUGACGUUAGCGGCGGACGGGUGAGUAACACGUGGAUAACCUACCUAUAAGACUGGGAUAACUUCGGGAAACCGGAGCUAAUACCGGAUAAUAUAUUGAACCGCAUGGUUCAAUAGUGAAAGACGGUUUUGCUGUCACUUAUAGAUGGAUCCGCGCCGCAUUAGCUAGUUGGUAAGGUAACGGCUUACCAAGGCAACGAUGCGUAGCCGACCUGAGAGGGUGAUCGGCCACACUGGGACUGAGACACGGUCCAGACUCCUACGGGAGGCAGCAGUAGGGAAUCUUCCGCAAUGGGCGAAAGCCUGACGGAGCAACGCCGCGUGAGUGAUGAAGGUCUUCGGAUCGUAAAACUCUGUUAUUAGGGAAGAACAAAUGUGUAAGUAACUAUGCACGUCUUGACGGUACCUAAUCAGAAAGCCACGGCUAACUACGUG